rnacentral:rRNA from 1 species
UACGUAGGGUGCAAGCGUUGUCCGGAAUUAUUGGGCGUAAAGAGCUCGUAGGCGGUUUGUCACGUCGGCUGUGAAAUCCCGAGGCUCAACCUCAGCCUGCGCGGGAUACUGCUUGGCUAGAGUUCGGUAGGGGAGACUGGAAUUCCUGGUGUAGCGGUGAAAUGCGCAGAUAUCAGGAGGAACACCGGUGGCGAAGGCGGGUCUCUGGGCCGAUACUGACGCUGGAGGAGCGAAAAGCCGUGGGGAGCGA